GCGGAGGGGGAGGAGACAGGCGAAGGGUGGCGGAGGAAAGAUGUGAAUGGAGCUGUCGUGGAUGGAGUGGUUUAAGGGAGAGUGGACGAAGCGUGGGUUUAGGACCCUGACCAACGCCUCAGCAGAGGUCAGCCUCACCAGACAAAGAUUUACUGGGUAAUGGGCAGGUCCUCUAUCUCCAGCAGGACUCCCUUCUCAUGGAGCCGGGCAGCGGUGUAGUGCCCUCUGAGUGUCCUGGUUGGCCAGUCUCACACCCUCCUGAAUGUCAGCUAACCACAGCUCUGCUGUAGGGUCCUGGCUCAACUGCAGGUCAGCACAUCAUGGUAGCGUUUGCCGUUUUGUGGUAGUACAUCCUUCAGGCCAAUAGAGGGCAGCAGCAAUGCAGACAAAGUUUUCUGAGGAUCAUUGCGACAGAGCGCCUGGUUAAUCAGUCCAAUAGUCAAGA